rnacentral:rRNA from 1 species
UACGGAGGGGGCGAGCGUUGUCCGAAGUUACUGGGCGUAAAGCGCGCGUAGGCGGGUUGCCAAGUCCGCUGUGAAAGCCCGAGGCUCAACCUCGGAGGGUCGGUGGAUACUGGCAGUCUUGAAGGUGCUAGGGGGAGAUGGAAUUACCGGUGUAGCGGUGAAAUGCGUAGAGAUCGGUAGGAACACCAGUGGCGAAGGCGGCUUUCUGGGCCUUACCUGACGCUGAGACGCGAAAGCGUGGGGAGCGAACCGG